GAUGAACGCUGGCGGCGUGCCUAAUACAUGCAAGUCGAGCGAACGGACGAGAAGCUUGCUUCUCUGAUGUUAGCGGCGGACGGGUGAGUAACACGUGGAUAACCUACCUAUAAGACUGGGAUAACUUCGGGAAACCGGAGCUAAUACCGGAUAAUAUUUUGAACCGCAUGGUUCAAAAGUUAAAGACGUCUUGCUGGCACUUAUAGAUGGAUCCCCGCUGCAUUAGCUAGUUGGUAAGGUAACGGCUUACCAAGGCAACGAUGCAUAGCCGACCUGAGAGGGUGAUCGGCCACACUGGAACUGAGACACGGUCCAGACUCCUACGGGAGGCAGCAGUAGGGAAUCUUCCGCAAUGGGCGAAAGCCUGACGGAGCAACGCCGCGUGAGUGAUGAAGGUCUUCGGAUCGUAAAACUCUGUUAUUAGGGAAGAACAUAUGUGUAAGUAACUGUGCACAUCUUGACGGUACCUAAUCAGAAAGCCACGGCUAACUACGUG
rnacentral:rRNA from 1 species